CUCCCUUCUUGCUUUUCCCCCUGUGCCCCUGUGUCCCCUGUCCCUGUGCUGGUCCGAGCUGGCGGCCGGGCCGGGCGGAGCAGCAGUUCCAGCCCCGGGUGUCCCUGGAGCGGUGGGAGCUGCCGGUGGCCCCAGGCAGGGUCCCCUGAGGAGCUGCUGAAGGACGCUGCCCUGCAGACCCUGAGGACAGGCGGAGACUGGCAGGAGGCAGCAGGGAGAAGCUGCAGGCCGGCAGCAGGAGCAGGGAGCAGGGAGCUGCUGCUGCCAGCCGAGAGGCCGGGAGAGCUGCUCUGCACGGGAGGAAGCAAGGACAGAGGGAAAGGCUUUGAAGAUGGGGC